rnacentral:tRNA from 1 species
GCGUCCGUAGCUCAUUUGGAUAGAGUAUCUGAUUCCGAAUCAGAGGGUGGCAGGUUCGAAUCCUGUCGGACGCACCA